CAGUCGCCGCGGUAAUACGAAGGGUGCAAGCGUUAAUCGGAAUUACUGGGCGUAAAGCGUGCGUAGGCGGUUUGUUAAGUCUGCUGUGAAAUCCCCGGGCUCAACCUGGGAAUGGCAGUGGAUACUGGCAAGCUAGAGUGUGUCAGAGGAUGGUGGAAUUCCCGGUGUAGCGGUGAAAUGCGUAGAGAUCGGGAGGAACAUCAGUUGCGAAGGCGGCCAUCUGGGACAACACUGACGCUGAGGCACGAAAGCGUGGGGAGCAAACAGGAUUAGAUACCCGCGUAGUCCCUGUCUCUUAUAC
rnacentral:rRNA from 1 species